AGUUUAACACUUCAUGACUGAGAGCUGUCCUUCAAGACAACAGAACCCACAACAACCAUGACCUCUAUCACCAUAUUCACCUGGAUUUGUGUAUUCUACAUGAAGGAAUCCAGUGGACAGUACACUGUGACUCAGACUCCUACAGUGAAAGUUGUUCAUGUUGGACAGACAGUCGCUCUGAACUGUCAAACCAGCAGUGAUGUGUAUGGCUCUUAUCCCUGCCUAGCCUGGUACCAACAGAAACCUGGAGGAGCUCCUAAACUCCAUAGACCCCAUCUGGAUUCAGUGGUAGUGGAUCUGGGAGUGACUUCACUCUGACCAUCAGUGGAGUCCAGGCUGAAGAUGCAGGAGAUUACUACUGUUAGAAUUACCACAGUAGUGGAUUGUUCACACAGUGAUACAGAGUCGUACAAAAACCUCCCUCAGUCAGACUGCACAGUGACUGUACUGAUACAGCUGGGACCUACUGCAGGUGAUAAGGGGGAAGAGACAGUGACAUGGAAGACUGAUCAGUAGAAGAGGUCAACUUUGAAAAUGGUUAGAAAGUAUCAUUUAGAACACACGUUCUCCAACGUCGUCAUCAUCAUCAUCGUCAUUAUUAUCAUCAUCAUGGUUGUAACUUGUUAUUUUGGACCUGAACUGAAAGUGUAUAUAAAAGUUAUUUGUAGUUUUUGAAGACAAUACCAGUCCAUAGUAGAGUAAGAUGUACAGAAGUAAGAGGAAACGUAUCAGCCCCCCAAACCAAUUCCCUACAUGCACUUCACAACCAGUUAUUGAUGUGAUCAUCUAGCAUGUAUUAACCCUUUUCAUGAGUUGAUAGAUCUGUGAAUGAGACAUGAUGCUGGGCUCAAACAUGACACAUUGAUGUAGAGACAUACACUACACACUGUUAUCAUAAAGUAUAAUAUCUGUCGAAUCUGUCAUUAAUUACAUGGUGAAUCCACCAUAGAUGUUAAACCAGUCCACUCCCUCACAUCUGGCCCAGUCCAGGGUAUUUUACCCAGCGAAACUGUUCAACUGCUUGACUGGUAGCUGUGUGAGUGAAACUGAGAUUUACAUAGACAGGGAAGGAUGGUUCUGCUUGUCCCAGAAUAGAGCAGCACUGUCGCCAUAUUGGGAAUGAAACAUAAAUACAUAUGUUAUGGAAAGUAAUUGUUUAGCUGUGUGAGUUCUGAGAGCAGAUCUUAGAGGUUUAUUAUCUAAUAUCACUAAUUAUUCUCACUGGUAUUGGAGGUACAGGCUCAUUCAGUUGUAGAAAUGAUUGCAGAGUAUUUGUUGGAUCAGAUGCCCUUUUAAUUAUGUUUGAAAACAUGAGAGUAGCAGAAAAGAUGCCUCAUGCAGUGUGACAUCCCCUUCGCAUAGAGUUGAUUGUGGCCUGUGGAAUGUUGUCGCAAUCCUCUUCAAAUGCUGUGUGAAGUUGCUGGAUAUUUUUAUUUAACUCGGCAAGUCAGUUAACAGCAAAUUUUUAUUUAAAAUGACGGGCUACCAAGAGGCAAAAGGCCUCCUGCAGGGGCUGGAAUUAAAAAGAAAAAUAUAAGACAAAACACACCAUGACAGGAGAGACACCACAACACUACAUAAAGAGAGACCUAAGACAACACAGCACGACACCAACAAAUGACAAAACAGCAUGGUAGCAAUACAACAUGACAACACUGUGGCAACGCAUGGCAGCAGCACAACAUGGUAGCAGCACAAGCAUGGUACAAACAUUGUUAGGCACAGACAACAUGUCACGAAUAUUACCGAUGGUGACUCCCCUUCUUGUUCGGGUGGCGCUCGGCGGUCGUCGUCGCCGGUCUACUAGCUAUCACCGAUCCGUUGUUCUGUGUUCCUUUGGUUUUGUCUGAUUGUUUUCACCUGUUUCUUGUUUGGUUGUUAGGGUGGGGUUAUAUAAGUUUGUUCAGCCCGCUUCUGUUUUGUGCGGGCUUGUUCGUCUGUUCUGUGUUUGAGUGUAUUUUGCAUUUCCGGGUUUCACGCUGUCCGUUAUUAUUUCUGAUAAUUUGUUUUCCUACUUUUGUUCAUGUUAUUUUUCCUGGACAUUAAAGUGUGUUUUUUCCCACA